rnacentral:snoRNA from 1 species
AGGUGAGGACCCAAGGAUCUGUUACCUACAUGGGGAAAUCACCUGGAGAUACUUUUGACAGCACAGGUCAGCAUAAUACCUGUAGCUGUCACUAACUAUUNNN